GCAAAUUGACACCGUAACUUCGGGAGAAGGUGUGCCGCUGGCGGUUAGUGACUUCGCGUCACGAAGCUGUCGGUGGUCGCAGUGAAAUGGCGGUUGUGACUGUUUACUAAAAACACAGGACUCUGCGAAGUCGUAAGACGACGUAUAGGGUCUGAUGCCUGCCCGGUGCUGGAAGGUUAAGGGGAUAUGUCAGCGCAAGCGAAGCAUUGAACCGAAGCCCCAGUAAACGGCGGCCGUAACGAUAACGGUCCUAAGGUAGCGAAAUUCCUUGUCGGGUAAGUUCCGACCUGCACGAGGGCAUAACAACAUCCGCACUGUCUCGACCAGGGACUCAGCGAAAUUACAUUGGGGGUGAAGAUGCCCUCUACCCGCGGAAAGACGGAAAGACCCCAUGAACCUUUACUGCAACUUGGCAGUGAUUUUCGGGUUGUUCUGCGUAGGAUAGGUGGGAGGCUUUGAAGCCGGGCUUCCGGGUUCGGCAGAGCCAACGUUGAAAUACCACCCUGAAUAAUCUGGAAAUCUAACCUGCGCCCAUGAUCUGGGCGAGGGACACUGCCUGGUGGGCAGUUUGACUGGGGCGGUCGCCUCCUAAAUUGUAACGGAGGCGUGCGACGGUUCCCUCAGGCUGAUCGAAACCAGCCGUAGAGUGCAAACGCAUAAGGGAGCUUUACUGCGAGACUGACAAGUCGAACAGUUGCGAAAGCAGGUGUUAGUGAUCCGGUGGUACCACAUGGAAGGGCCAUCGCUCAUCGGAUAAAAGGUACUCUGGGGAUAACAGGCUGAUCGCGCCUGAGAGUUCACAUCGGCGGCGCGGUUUGGCACCUCGAUGUCGGCUCAUCGCAUCCUGGGGCUGGAGCAGGUCCCAAGGGUUUGGCUGUUCGCCAAUUAAAGCGGUACGCGAGCUGGGUUUAAAACGUCGUGAGACAGUUUGGUCCCUAUCUUCCGUGGGCGCAGGACACUUGAGAGGAGCUAUCCAUAGUACGAGAGGACCUGGAUGGACGAACCUCUGGUGCUCCGGUUGUCACGCCAGUGGCAUAGCCGGGUAGCCAUGUUCGGAACAGAUAACCGCUGAAGGCAUAUAAGCGGGAAGCUGGCCUCAAGACUAGGUGUCCCUGACGCAAGUCACUAAAGGCCCCUCGAAGACUACGAGGUUGAUAGGCUCGGUGUGGAAGCGCUGCGAGGCGUGGAGCUAACGAGUACUAAUAGGCCGUGCGACUUGACCUC
rnacentral:rRNA from 1 species